UCUCGACGUAACACAGGCUCGCAUCCACCUAAUCGUUCUCUAGUAGAACCACUGCUGACUCAUCCGCUAUACACCUCUUCAACUGCGACACAUACCAGUGUCAUGGAUCCGUCCCAAUUCCGUUGACAGCUCCAAACGAUAGGCCACCCUUCCUACCUUCGCACCUUCACGAAAAGACCCAACAUACCGGGGCCCCCCAUUUACCCCUCUUCCUAAAUCGAAGCACCCCGUCAGAAAUACGAAGUCGCUGACCUGAAUCACAUGCUCGUAACGGCGUCUGCCUGCAUAACUUUCCUGUUAACUCUAGACGAUCACUAACUCUCUUUAACCUGCUGAGUCUGCUUUGCCAACUAAAGUACGAACUCUGAACUGCUCAUCACUCUCUGUAAUCGGAAAUUACCCAAGAUGCACUCUGCUCCAAAUCUCAACGAUCACUCAACCCAUAAGGGUUAGGAAACCCUGAACCACCGGAUCCCCGAUCCAAAGCCCACUUUGCCCAUUCCGGACCGACUGAGAGAUCCGUUCUCCCUCUCAGAUCAACUCUCACAAGUUCCCUCUUGCCAUCACAUACACAUACUGAACUAGUCCCAACACCCGCAGGUUGAAAGACCCGAUACACUGAUGAUAUCCUCGAACAUCUCCCAAGAUGAACCACUACAUCCACCCUACACUCUGAUCAGAUUCACACUGAGAAUUUAAAAUUUUCUCUCUCCAUGCAUCCCUUCUGAGCCUCAACAGACAUCCCAACCGGAUGGGUUCCUACUCCACUGCCGCGAACACGAUGCUCAAAACCAUACUCGAAAUACUCUAACCAUAACUCUGCUCUGCAGCUUUCACUUUCGUGAACUUGCACCCCCUUCGGAGUUACAUACCCUCCUCUUUUCCUUUUCCACGGAACUCUCUUGAACAUAAUGCCACUCCAACCGGUGCCACGGUGCUCGCCCCAAGCGACACCACCCUUUUUGCGUAACUGCUAUUCACAUACUCUGGUUCUCAUUGCAGGGGCUCUCAAUCCCAUGCACUCUCUCCACUCAUCAAAAUCACUGCCUCCGCUAAACAAGAUCAAUAACCCAGGGCCAGACCUUCCAAUGCAAUCACACUGCAACAUACGUGAUCCGCAAAUCUCAAACUAAUCCAGCAAUACCAACAGAGUCUCCAGUAUGACUGGACCGACUCUCAUAACACAUACUAGCCACUCGAGGCUAUAUCUCUGUGGGUCCGUACACCCAAACUCUGCGAACCCUCAGGUUCUAACUCUGGGAACCUUCCGGUUCCAGCUCUAGAAACAUGCACAACAUAAUCCCGUGGGAUUAAUGCAGUACAACCCAUCACGUACCUCAAACAUACCAAUACUCUGAUCACAUAACCCCGGUUACUUACUCAAGCUUGAUCCCGGCCUUCUCUCAGGCCUCCACAAUCGAAUGCCCUAGGUCUGUAUCCCGCCCCGCAUACCCAACACUCGCUCUCGUCGGCCUAUACUCUGCGCUGACAAACACUGCUGAAUCCCAACAGCUAAGCACCCUCACAUACUCAUCGAUCUCCCGGAGAAUUUUCUAAUUCUCCCCCACUAAAGCACUGACUAACUGCCACCGAUCGUCAUUAACGACCUUACAGAACAAUCCUGUACAAAGAGAACAAUUACACACUGACUGCUUCCCACAAGCACAAGCAACCCUCAGCAAAACACACCUCCUCCCUGAUCAACCCACUCACAAGAAUCUAGUCCUUCAAUCAUCCACUCCACGACUGUAGAUGCUACCCGACAAUCAACACAGUGCCGCGUCUCCCCUAACAACCCCCACGAACGAUAACCAACGGAAACCUCGACAAUAACCCAUAACCAAACUCACAAUCUGCCCAAAGGAUGAACACCACAUCGAAAACCGCACAAGACUACUGACACUAAAACACCAAUUAUAACCAUACCCAACCAUCAGGGAAUAACGAAUGCCAAAGCGAAAACCUGAAGCACCAAUCCAUAACCAUGCCAGACCCGCGAAACAACGAAUACCGCAUCGAAAUCCAUACAAGAUACCAGCACAAACAAUACGCCAAAUCAAUGCAAGACAAUUAAGACAUCAUGAAAGCAUCAUACCCGCAGCUGUCUCCGGCACUGCUCCGUCUCCCUCUGUCGCACGCAGAUAAACACGACCCUGAGCCCUCUGGGGCUCCGCUUCAUCCUGUCCUCCUCAAAUCCCGAAUUGGCACUGACUGCCAACAAUCCCGUGCACAGUGCCCCUCCUUUCCGCACUUGCGGCAUGCACCACCGGACCCGCAAGCUCCGAUGUAACCCCUUUUUACUCGAUCAUCGACACCUAUGGUCUCAUGCUUUCCUACUGCAUCUCUAUACUCCACUUAUUACUACUCCUGACAAUUCUUGCUUUCUUACAUACUGCACCCGGUUCUCCCCCACUAGGGUUCGAACCAACACCAAUUAGUAUACAAUCAACCCACGACUAUCUUUCACCAGCGAAAUCGUAUCUGCCCCAGAAAAGUGCUGUGCAACACCCGAUAGUCCCUCCCCUUAUGAAGUCAAUCAAUCCCCUAUACUCUGAACCUCUAGCUAACUCUCCAAGAACUUCUCAUCACGGCUGCCUCUAAUCGUUCCAAAUCCCAUACUGAUCUAAUACUAAGCACCUGCACUGCUCGAUAACAUAUCUGGCUCGUAGACUGCACCGCAGCAUCAUCGUUCCUCUCAUCUCAACUCAUCAAUCCGUAUCCAACGCCGGAUUUGUCCCAAGAACAGGGACUUACUCUCAACAUAGACGACAACUCUCCGCACUGCAAAACUCGUCUGAACUCUUCACUGCUACCACUAUAACCCAACCUGUUAUUCUCAAUUAGGUGUGGUGUGGUUCUCGACUACCUCAGCCCCAACUGACUGUCUGUUCACGGUAAAUCUCUGUCUCGCGGUACACCCGCUACCUGAUGCUCUGAGGGAAGUCAUUAUCGAUAACUACCUGCAGGGUGUACUCCCAAAUCCAGAACUGAAACACCAGACCUCUCGCGUCUUGCACACGAGCAUAAAUGACACUACCCACCCAAAAGGUGACCUCUCCUCUGUCGUCUGAUUGCUCGACUCAACUGAAAUUCUCCCCUGUCUUUGACUCUUACCAAAAUACUCUGAUAGGCACUUGCCUUUCCCCUCGAGGAACGCCUCUCCGUACUCAAUCAUGGUCUACAGGCCUGAAACCCAUAGCGUCCAAUCUCUACCUCAUCGGUCAUAACCGGAUAACAAGAUAGCCACAAGCAUCAUCCACUACGAACCAUGGUACUCAUCCCAUGACAUCCCUCCUCAACAUGCUUCAGUGUAUGGUACCUGAACCAUAGCACCACUCCUCAAUCUGCUCCAAUGUAUAGCACUCGGACCACAACAUCUAUCUCAAUCUGUUCCGAUGUAUGGUGCCCGGACCAUAACAUCACUCUGUAUCCGCUCCGAUGUAUGGUAUCCGAACCAUAACAUCACCCCUCAAUCUGUUCCUUAGGACCUUUAGGAUGCCCCCUGUAUCAAGUAUGGGUCCUCUGCUUUCAGUAGUACGGGCCCAUACUACCUGCCACAUCUACCCAUACUUUCCACACGGACCAUCCCAGAGUUCCUAAGUAGCUGAUAAACCUGCUCUUUCACCCAUCUCAUCGCGCGUGCUCGCUUUCCAGCGAAAUCCUCUACUCUACCAGCGCACUCAUCUGGCUAGGUUUACUCCCUAGUCCCUUCCGCUGUCCUCCCACUUCUUUGCUAUCAGCUGCUGAAGAGUUCCUAAUGAUGCCAGCCCUCUACCUCCUGAGUAUCGUCAUACUCACUUAGUAGCUGACUCCCAUCAUCGAUAACUCCACAAAGCACAAAGCAAGCAGCAUUCGAGCAUUGAAGCAUACAUAGGACUCCCCAUCUGUGGUAGCUCCACCUUCUCGGCUCAUCCUCGGAAGUACCUCUGUACCCCGUAGCUUUACCCCUUGUGCGUUCUAACUAGAUACUCUCACUCAUCACAUACACACAAAAGCAUAACGCACAUAUAACAGCAAACCCUAGACUAAGGCAUCACAAAUCAGGCCACUCUAGUCCUAAGAUGUGAAAUACCUAGCCUGUCUCUAGCAUGCAAUAAUGUCUCAUAAAGUGCAUAAUAGAUAUUUCAUAAUACAAAAGUAAGGGUAUUUUGGGAAAUCACCGUUUGGCUCUGGCUGAUUGUACACACUGCUCUUUCUUGCUUUCUCUUUGAACUCUUAUUCACUUUUAGAAAACCAUUUAUUUGGAAAACUUUUUCUUACUUCCUCAGUUUGAGUCCAGAUUUACCCGUAGGCGCGUCCGAAUCCCUCAAACCAAGGCUCUGAUACCAAUUUGUAACACCGAGAUUUCCAAAAACAAAAUUUUCAUUUAAAUAAUCAAUUUAAUAUUAAAAACACUUGUUUAAAAUCUUAUUCACAUUCGAAUUACAAAACAUAGUUUCAUUUUCAUUAUAAUAGAAGACCAGGAUCCUCCAAAACACAACUCUUUCUUCGGUGUGUACAAUCGAACCGUUGCCAUCCCGCGUUACUGUAAGAACCUGAAACAACAUAACAUAAACAACGUAAGCACGAAGCUUAGUGAGUUCCCCAAUAUACCUUACGCACAUACGCCUUCCGGCCCGGACCUUUCGGUCCACAUAACAUUGCCUUCCGGCCCGGACCUUUCGGUCCACAUAACAUUGCCUUCCGGCCCGGACCUUUCGGUCCACAUAACAUUGCCUUCCGGCCCGGACCUUUCGGUCCACAAUAUAUAUCGCCUUCCGGCCCAUAAGAUAAUUGCCUUCCGGCCCAUACACAUAUAUAACACAUAAUACAAAUACUCUAACACAUAAAGCACAUAUAUCAUAUAUCAACCUGCCUUCCGGCCCGUAACAUAUUCUAACACAUAAAGCACAUACACCAUAUAUCAUACCUGACCUUUCUGUCACAUAAUACCUUGCCUUCCGGCCCAUAUAUAAGCAUGUAUAUCACGCGUAGCAGCUAACUUUCCAUUUAUAGCAUAUAAACAUAACACAUAACAUACUUGACCUUCCGGUCACACAAUCAAACCCUUCCGGGUGAGGUAUAGUGAGAAGACUCACCUCGCGGACACUGGAAGAUAGCAACUCCUAAAAUCCCUUGCACUUGAUCCUCCGAGCUACAAGCUCCCUGUAACAUCAUAUAUCCCUUAUUAAUACUUCUAUCUUCCACGUUAACUGACCCUAAGAAAUCACACCAGUCAACUCUGGUCAACAGUCCAUUGUCAGCUCGACUGGACUCGGCGAGUUCCCUGGCGACUCGGCGAGUCUGGUCGUCCUUCAAUCCUCUAAGAUUCCCCUUCUACUCGUCGAGUAUCCUCUUUGACUCGACGAGUCACUCCUGGAAGAAUCGCGGGGCCACCCCGACUCCACUCGCCGAGUCUGAAGAACAACUCGGCGAGUCCCAGUGAAUCUUCAAGCUACUCGCCGAGUCUGAUCAUCCGACUCGGCGAGUCCACGCCAUGCAGUCGAUCAAACUGCUUCCUGAGAUACAUAUUUUCCCGAAUAUACAAACAUAGGACCUUCUGGACCUCUAAGGGGUACUAAUACAGGGUUAUAAACGUUGGAUAACAACACAACAAUCCAUCUAAUCUCCAAAUGGGUUUCACAAACCCUAAAUCCAUGCACACAUUCACAUAACAGAAAAUAAUCCGAAAGGUUACCUGAAUCAUGCACUCUCAGUGUCCCCAAGCCUCAAAACGUGAUUCCCUUGCUGUCCCAUUAGCCAAAACCUUCUCCUUCUUGGACAAUAACUUCCUCAAAUCACCAAUGAUCUUCAAUCCUUGUUCUGGAUGCCCACAACCGAUUUAGGGUCCUUCUCAGUCGGCCAAAAGGCGAACAAUGGAGGCAUAAGAUCCCUUAUAUACUUCCCAAACUGAACGGCUAGGGUUUUCCACUGAACAGCGUCGACUCGCCGAGUCCAUAUCUGGACUCGUCGAGUCCAGUCGUGAACCCGCGACCAAACCUGCGACCCUACUCGGCGAGUCUGGCUCCAACUCGUCGAGUCUCCCCUUUAAAACACCCCCAAAAUGCAACUUAACAAUACUUGAGAUUUUGGGCUGUUACAAUUCUCCCCCACUAGAAUUAGACUUCGCCCUCGAAGUCUCACUCUGAAAAUAGUUCUGGCUGCUGCUCCCGCAUCUCACGUUUCGGCUUCCCUAGACACUACCGAUCUCUCCCGAGGCCGCUACUGAACCAAUACCAGAGGUACCUCCUUGUUCCUCAGAACCUUGAUCUUCCGAUCUCCGACGGCCACUGGCCUCUCGACGUAACACAGGCUCGCAUCCACCUAAUCGUUCUCUAGUAGAACCACUGCUGACUCAUCCGCUAUACACCUCUUCAAUUGCGACACAUACAAGUGUCAUGGAUCCGUCCCAAUUCCGUUGACAGCUCCAAACGAUAGGCCACCCUUCCUACCUUCGCACCUUCACGAAAAGACCCAACAUACCGGGGCCCCCCAUUUACCCCUCUUCCUAAAUCGAAGCACCCCAUCAGAAAUACGAAGUCGCUGACCUGAAUCACAUGUUCGUAAUGGCGUCUGCCUGCAUAACUUUCCUGUUAACUCUAGACGAUCACUAACUCUCUUUAACCUGCUGAGUCUGCUUUGUCAACUAAAGUACGAACUCUGAACUGCUCACCACUCUCUGUAAUCGGAAAUUACCCACGAUGCACUCUGCUCCAAAUCUCAACGAUCACUCAACCCAUAAGGGUUAGGAAACCCUGAACCACCGGAUCCCCGAUCCAAAGCCCACUUUGCCCAUUCCGGACCGACUGAGAGAUCCGUCCUCCCUCUCAGAUCAACUCUCACAAGUUCCCUCUUGCCAUCCCAUACACCUACUGAACUAGUCCCAACACCCGCAGGUGGAAAGACCCGAUACACUGAUGAUAUCCUCGAACAUCUCCCAAGAUGAACCACUACAUCCACCCUACACUCUGAUCAGAUUCACACUGAGAAUUUAAGAUUUUCUCAAAGCCUGUCCGACUUACAGAUAAUCCAUAAGGUAUUAAGAGUAAGGAAUCCGUGAGGAAUUCAUUAGUAGAAUAAAGAUUAAGGAUCCAUG
rnacentral:lncRNA from 1 species